rnacentral:rRNA from 1 species
GGAUACACUUAGUGGCGGACGGGUGAGUAACGCGUGGGUACCUGCCUCACACUGGGGGAUAACAGUUAGAAAUAGCUGCUAAUACCGCAUAAGUCCGCAUGGAAAAAACUCCGGUGGUGUGAGAUGGACCCGCGUCUGAUUAGCCAGUUGGCGGGGUAACGGCCCACCAAAGCGACGAUCAGUAGCCGGCCUGAGAGGGUGAACGGCCACAUUGGGACUGAGACACGGCCCAAACUCCUACGGGAGGCAGCAGUGGGGAAUAUUGCACAAUGGGGGAAACCCUGAUGCAGCGACGCCGCGUGAGUGAAGAAGUAUUUCGGUAUGUAAAGCUCUAUCAGCAGGGAAGAAGUGACGGUACCUGAAUAAGAAGCCCCGGCUAACUACGUGCCAGCAGCCGCGGUAAUACGUAGGGGGCAAGCGUUAUCCGGAUUUACUGGGUGUAAAGGGAGCGUAGACGGCAAGGCAAGUCUGAAGUGAAAGCCCGGUGCUUAACGCCGGGACUGCUUUGGAAACUGUUUAGCUGGAGUGCCGGAGAGGUAAGCGGAAUUCCUAGUGUAGCGGUGAAAUGCGUAGAUAUUAGGAAGAACACCAGUGGCGAAGGCGGCUUACUGGACGGUAACUGACGUUGAGGCUCGAAAGCG